GUAUUACUCGAUGCCCGGUAGCUCAGUGGUAGAGCUUCUUUAUGGGGUGAGCGAAAGCGCCUAGCAAUAACUGCGAGGGGUUGCAGGUUCGAAUCCUGCCCGGGCCCGUAUCAUAAGAAC
rnacentral:tRNA from 1 species